rnacentral:rRNA from 1 species
AUCGCACUAACGAUAGCUAGUUUCCCUGGAAAGAUAUAAAAGUGUCGGGAAAAGAUAUAAUCUAUGAUACUAAUUAUUAUAUAUUACAUGUACUUUUCACUAAUUUUUUUGAGGAUAAGCUCAAAAAAAAGUUAAGAAUUUUAUAAUUAAAUUUGCUAUGUAGGCUUAAAAUUAGCCACUAUAAAAGUUUUUUGUAAAAUAGUAACCUUAGUUUUGCAGAAUAAGUAUAAUUUAAACUAACUUUUUACAGGGACAAAAACUUUAAUUUAAAUAAGUUUUAUGCCUAUGCUAGAAUGAGUAUUAAAACUUGAUUAUGAAAGAUCUAUCUUUAUGUCUUCCUAAAAAAAAUUAAAAAAAGUUAAUUAAUUAGAAGGAACUCGGCAAAUUUAGUUGUUUCGCCUGUUUAUCAAAAACAUGGCUCUUUGGUUAUACGAAUAUAAAGAGUCGGACCUGCCCGGUGAAAACUUUUAACGGCCGCGGUACUUUGACCGUGCAAAGGUAGCAUAAUCAUUUGCCUUAUAAUUAAAGGCUAGUAUGAACGGUUUGACGAAAACAACACUGUCUCCUUUUUAUUUUCAAGAAUUUAACUUUUAGGUGAAGAGGCCUAAAUUCCAUUGAAGGACAAGAAGACCCUGUCGAGCUUAAAAGACAUCGUAGAAUUAUAUAUAUAUAUAUUUAAAUAAAUUUUCUAUUAAGCUUUUUAGUUGGGGCGACUGAGGAACAAAAAAAGCUUCUUAAAAAGAACAGACAAUCAUGUUUAGAUCCGGUAAAACUGAUCAAAGAAAUUAGUUACCGCAGGGAUAACAGCAUAAUCUCUCUUGAGAGGCCUAAUCGAAAGAGGGGGUUGUGACCUCGAUGUUGGACUAGAAUAUCCUAAAGAUGCAGAAGCUUUGAGG